rnacentral:rRNA from 1 species
UACGUAGGGUGCGAGCGUUAAUCGGAUUUACUGGGCGUAAAGCGUGCGCAGGCGGUUUGUUAAGCGAGAUGUGAAAGCCCCGGGCUCAACCUAGGAAUUGCGCUUGUGACUGGCGGGCUCGAGUACGGUAGAGGGGGGUGGAAUUCCUGGUGUAGCAGUGAAAUGCGUAGAGAUCAGGAGGAACACCGAUGGCGAAGGCAGCCCCCUGGGCCUGUACUGACGCUCAUGCACGAAAGCGUGGGGAGCAAACAGG